rnacentral:lncRNA from 1 species
UGUUAUAUAAUAUACAAUAAUCAAACGUUAACCACAUACAAUUUAUCAUUUAAACGAAAAAAACGGUCUCAAGGUUUUCUCCUGCUGCAGCUGGGCUGGUGAAGAACCUGUUGCGCCUAUUCUGUUUAUGAUUUGCGCACCAUUAACUGUACGGCAUCUUCUUACUCCGCCAUGUUAGUUCAGCUAUUCAAUCUCGCCUCUCCAUACGGCAAUUCUUCUAAUCAUAAUCAACAAAAACACCUAACACAAUCGGCCACAUGAAACAAAUCCAAAACUGGAAUUGAUAAAACUAAAAAAACAUUUGUUUAAAAAAAGCAUACCAGUCACUGCUCAAUUUAAUCAACUCACAAACUGUGCAAAUCCUUAGCUCUCUUCAAAUGGAGAAUCAAGAAAGCUCAAAAUACUGCAACAAUUAACAAAACCUUCUAAAUUUAACACCAAAUAAUCGACUCCUAACAUCUAACAAAUAUUUUAGAUAAAAGUUGGUUAUUUGCUGAAAUUUGUAUAUUCAAAUCAUAGUGGAUCCCAAAUCAAAAAAACUUCUUUAUGGCGCGCAUUGUGAGAAUUGAGUAUCCUGAUUACAUGGGGUUCUUGUCGACCCACCAGUUCGUCGAAUUGGAAAUUUUAAAAAUUUCUAACGCCCUUAUUCAAGAUAUUAAAAUAGUUUUAUGUAUAUUUCUAAGAGAAUAAUAAAACCCUAUAAACCUAACCUUGUUACUCGAAAUAAGCGAAGAAAGGAGAAAAAUAUGGGAAAAGUGUUUCCUCUUGGUUCUGAAGUCUGAAGAUCUAUGCAUCUGAACAACAUAUGACCAAGAUAUUAGUUGUACAUAAAAUCCAUUUAGUAGCACAAAAAGGAUGGCUUUCUGCUACCCUUAAAUGAAAAGAGGUGGCAAAACGUGUGAGCCUGGUGACAUGUUAAAAGGGUAGGUUUGGUUUGGUUAGGUUGACCCGUAAAUUUUUUUUUUCCAGUUUCUAUUCUUUUUUUUAUAAUAAUAUAAACAGCCCCUAUAUGUGGCAAUGGUGUUGUUUGAACACACAACCACAAAUAACGACGUGCUUGUGGAACCCCCAUAAGUACGCUCGGGUAGAGGGGCCUGGGUAGUCCAACAACCUAAACAAUUACAGGUGAGACUAAGCCUCUAUGUGUCGAAUCAUAUUGUAUAAAAGUGUAACGUAUAAUUGGAUCAUGCAAAGAUGAGUAUGUUAGCGGCUAUCUAAAAUAGCUUAUGAAGUACCCAAGUUCAUGGUUCAAGUA